rnacentral:rRNA from 1 species
UACGUAGGGGGCUAGCGUUGUCCGGAUUUAUUGGGCGUAAAGAGCGUGUAGGCGGCCAUGUAGGUCCGGUGUGAAAACUCGAGGCUUAACCUCGAGAUGUCAUCGGAAACCAUUUGGCUAGAGUCCGGAAGAGGAGAGUGGAAUUCCUGGUGUAGCGGUGAAAUGCGCAGAUAUCAGGAAGAACACCAAUGGCGAAGGCGGCUCACUGGCCCGGUACUGACGCUGAGGUGCGAAAGCGUGGGGAGCAAACAGG